rnacentral:rRNA from 1 species
UACAGAGGUCUCAAGCGUUGUCCGGAUUCAUUGGGCGUAAAGGGUGCGUAGGUGGCGCCGUAAGUCGGGUGUGAAAUUUCGGAGCUUAACUCCGAAACUGCAUUCGAUACUGCGGUGCUUGAGGACUGGAGAGGAGACUGGAAUUCAUGGUGUAGCAGUGAAAUGCGUAGAGAUCAUGAGGAAGACCAGUGGCGAAGGCGGCUCUCUGGAACGCAACUGACGCUGAGACGCGAAAGCGUGGGGAGCAAACAGG